AGAGUUUGAUCCUGGCUCAGAUUGCAGUGAGGGGGCAGGCCUAAAACAUGCAAGUCGAACGGAAACCUUGGAAGCUUGCUUCCAGCUGUCGAGUGGCGAACGGGUGAGUAACGCGUAGGAAUCUACCCAGUAGUGGGGGACAACCCGGGGAAACCCGGGCUAAUACCGCAUACGCUCUGCGGAGGAAAGCGGGGGAUCUUCGGACCUCGCGCUAUUGGAGGAGCCUGCGUCGGAUUAGCUAGUUGGUAGGGUAAAGGCCUACCAAGGCGACGAUCCGUAGCUGGUCUGAGAGGACGAUCAGCCACACUGGAACUGAGACACGGUCCAGACUCCUACGGGAGGCAGCAGUUAGGAAUCAUGGGCAAUGGGCGCAAGCCUGACCCAGCCAUGCCGCGUGUGUGAAGAAGGCCCUCGGGUUGUAAAGCACUUUCAGUGGUGAAGAAAAGCUCGAAGUUAAUAGCCUCGAGUCUUGACGUUAACCACAGAAGAAGCACCGGCUAACUCCGUGCCAGCAGCCGCGGUAAUACGGAGGGUGCGAACGUUAAUCGGAAUUACUGGGCGUAAAGCGCACGUAGGCGGUUCGCUAAGUGGGAUGUGAAAGCCCUGGGCUUAACCUGGGAACUGCAUUUCAGACUGACGAACUAGAGUACG
rnacentral:rRNA from 1 species